rnacentral:misc_RNA from 1 species
AAAUACUUGGCUUAUCUCUGCAUCGUUGCCCAAUCUCACUGCGUGUGUACCACCUGGGACGAUGAGGAUCAUCCCACCUUGUUUUUGGCCCGAAGAGACGAGCUCCACUGUGCCCCUUAAUUUCCAACUGGGGAUUUCGAUGGAGCCGUCCGCUAUGGCGUCGCUAGGGAAACCAUUCGAUGGCGGCGUUUCAAAAUCACCGUUAGCCACCAAUCCUGCAAUCGGACGCAUACAAUUAUUUAGUGAGAGUAAAGAAGGUGGGCCAUACGCUUAUAUGUUUCACUGUCAAAGAUACUUUAAUUUCGGCAGUCAAGAUACAGUCCUGUUUGGCCCAAGAGCGAAUACUAGACACUAAUUUUUCACCUACUAAGCGUACCGAACAUCAUAUCCAUUGAGGUCUUCUAGCUACUGUUGAUUGAGUGGCGAUUAUUUAUAAAUUAUAUUAUAAUGAAUAAAAUCAUAUAAUAUAUUUUAAGACAUUUAUUAAAAUAUAUUAAAUUUAAAAAAGAAAAGAAAAAUACGUGAAAGAUCUAUGGAUGGAGGAUAGACUUAGCUUAUCCAUUCCUGAACCUCAAAAUGAAAGAAGAAUCAUGCCAAUAUAGAACAAAAUAAGAAGACAAACACCCACUAGAGGAAGAAGAAAGUCCAGUUAGGCAUAGAUGCCCAAAUUGAAAGGAACUCCACUAAUUAAGUAACAAAUAAUUUAUUUAUUUAUUUAUUGAAUCUGAUAGGACAAAAAUAAUGCUGGUAAUGAUGUGAACGCGCAAUCUGCUGCAAUUUGCAAAUAAGGACCAGAGAGCCGCGUUAAGCGCAUCGGAUUCGGCCCUACAGCACCGUUUUGGCCCAUCAUUUCAACUCCUAGAAGCUAGAGCCACUCCACUCUGACUAAUUUUCCUUUCUUUUCAAUUUUUUUCUACUACGAGAAGAAAAGUCCAUAAUUUCACAGUGCCACUUUUUAACUUUCACUGACACUCUACAGCUGGAGACUGGGAUGAUACCCCACCAAAAAGAUGGUGAGAAAAUGGAAAAAGUACCAUCCGGCUUUAAGGAAAGCACCCUUGUCGUUUUGCUAGCUCAAGGAAACAGUGCCUAACCUUUGGCGCCAAUUUAUCCAUUUUGACUAUUGUUCACCUUUAUAUUGUGGCUCUGUGGGAAUACCCAAAUAGAUUGGGCCCUCUUCCUUUAUUAAUAAUUAAAGUGGUACCACUAUUACAUAAUCAAUUUUCAUGUUACAUUAUUUGCGACCUUAUGGCAUUAUUUAGAAGAUAAAUAAAGUGAAGGUUUAAAUUACAAAAAUUAAUAUAAUCGAGUUUCAUGAUUUUUUCAAUUAACUCUUCAAUUAUUAGAGGCAAAUGGUGAUCAAGAAGAGAGAACUUACAAGUUAGUCACGAUUUUGCCCUACAACAUACGCAAAUGAAAAAGACACUAAUAUCCCCACAGGGUGACUGAUACCUUAGGAUACUAAAAUUUGACAAAACACUUGGGGCCAUACCACCAUAUUUAUUAUUUAAUAGUAAUCUAGAAUACAGAUGGGUUAUGAUAAAGGUUGAAGAAGCCAUAGUUUCCAGCCACAGCAAGAAAAAAAAAGUUCCUAAGCUGAUCUAAAAGCAUAAAAAGAUCUGCAAGUUGAUGUGGGGGUUUUCUUGGGGGGACUAUAUAGAGCCUUUUAGUCUAGAAGAACAUAAUCACUGCAAAUCAAGAUUAAAGCAGUGAUUAGCCGAACAACUAAUCUAGGUAGUCAUCACUGUACAAAUACAAAUAUAGAAUUAACGGUUCCUCUCUUAAGCCAAAAUAUAUGGCUUUCAGUACUUUAACAAUGGCACAAAUCUUUCUGGCUAAGAGAAAAAAAAAAGGGCACAAAUCAUUCUUCUUUACGUGCAAGCAAUAAGCUUCACCAAAGAAGAAUGGGGCAGUUCUGAAAAACACUAAAAGCUUGAAUGAGAAUUUAAAGCUUCUAAAGAUAGAAUGCAUUUACGCUAUCGUGUACGUUGGAAAUUGAUUCUUGUCUAUUGGGCUAUCAAUUACCAAAUAGAGAACAUCCCUCGCAUAAAGUCCUUGAAAGAGCAAUUGGAAAAUCAUUCAACUCCCAUUUCACUUGCAAUGCCUGAUCUUUUGCAGGAAAAAGCUAAAGACUUAAAGAAUUAAUCUUUUCAACUAUAUCUAUGGAACCCAGAAAUCAUAAAUCUCAUCUCAAUAGCCUCACAAAAAAUUACACAUACCAAUAAAUUCACAUUGAAUGUGAGUUUGCAGGUAAUUAAGUGAAGGGUAUAUAUCAGAUCUCAGAAACGGCUUAUCCAUGGAAAGAAAAAGGGGAAAGAGAAAAAUGCAUCUACUAAUUACAAGUAAAAAAAAAAGAGAAACCUAGUUAUUCUAUGAGAUCAAGAGAUAGGAAAUGGGCAUGUAAAGAAGCAAGAAGAAAACGUACCAUCUUGUCCUAAUAUUGCAGUAGCAAACAAAGCGAAGAAGAGAAUAACAGAACAAGCGAACCAUUUGCUUCUGGUUGAGCUUUGCACCAUCUUACUAUUUCUCGGGCAAGCACUCUCGCUCUCUCUCACCCUCUCUCUCACUGAAAGUGGGUGUGUAUGGACAGUAUUUUUUGGAGAGAAU